rnacentral:rRNA from 1 species
AUACGGAGGUGGCAAGCGUUGUUCGGAUUGAUUGGGUGUAAAGGGUAUGUAGGUGUCUGAAUAAGUCGAACGUGAAAGCCCGCAGCUUAACUGCGGAAUUGCAUUCGAAACUAUUUGGAUUGAGUACGGAAGGGGAGAAUGGAAUUCCCGGUGUAAGAGUGAAAUCUGUAGAUAUCGGGAGGAACACCAGUGGCGAAGGCGAUUCUCUGGUCCGAUACUGACACUGAAAUACGAAAGCUAGGGGAGCAAACAGGAUUAGAUACCCUGGUAGUCCUAGCCGUAAACGAUGGGUACUAGGUGUAGGUCCGCAAGGAUCUGUGCCGCAGCUAACGCAUUAAGUACCCCACCUGGGGAGUACGUUCGCAAGAAUGAA